UGGGGAAUAUUGCACAAUGGGGGAAACCCUGAUGCAGCGACGCCGCGUGGAGGAAGAAGGUUUUCGGAUUGUAAACUCCUGUCGUUAGGGACGAUAAUGACGGUACCUAACAAGAAAGCACCGGCUAACUACGUGCCAGCAGCCGCGGUAAAACGUAGGGUGCAAGCGUUGUCCGGAAUUACUGGGUGUAAAGGGAGCGCAGGCGGACCGGCAAGUUGGAAGUGAAAACUAUGGGCUCAGCCCAUAAAUUGCUUUCAAAACUGCUGGCCUUGAGUAGUGCAGAGGUAGGUGGAAUUCCCGGUGUAGCGGUGGAAUGCGUAGAUAUCGGGAGGAACACCAGUGGCGAAGGCGACCUACUGGGCACCAACUGACGCUGAGGCUCGAAAGCAUGGGUAGCAAACAGGAUUAGAUACCCUGGUAGUCCAUGCCGUAAACGAUGAUUACUAGGUGUUGGAGGAUUGACCCCUUCAGUGCCGCAGUUAACACAAUAAGUAAUCCACCUGGGGAGUACGACCGCAAGGUUGAAACUCAAAGGAAUUGACGGGGGCCCGCACAAGCAGUGGAGUAUGUGGUUUAAUUCGAAGCAACGCGAAGAACCUUACCAGGUCUUGACAUCCGAUGCAUAGUGCAGAGAUGCAUGAAGUCCUUCGGGACAUCGAGACAGGUGGUGCAUGGUUGUCGUCAGCUCGUGUCGUGAGAUGUUGGGUUAAGUCCCGCAACGAGCGCAACCCUUAUUGCCAGUUACUACGCAAGAGGACUCUGGCGAGACUGCCGUUGACAAAACGGAGGAAGGUGGGGAUGACGUCAAAUCAUCAUGCCCUUUAUGACCUGGGCUACACACGUACUACAAUGGCGUUUAACAAAGAGAAGCAAGACCGCGAGGUGGAGCAAAACUCAAAAACAACGUCUCAGUUCAGAUUGCAGGCUGCAACUCGCCUGCAUGAAGUCGGAAUUGCUAGUAAUCGCGGAUCAGCAUGCCGCGGUGAAUACGUUCCC
rnacentral:rRNA from 1 species